rfam:Staphylococcus pseudintermedius strain 063228, complete genome.
GAUUGUCUCUGGAAUGGGCGARAGCCUGRCGGAGARCGCCGCGKAACKGAGGUAGGAAUGCBGAGGGGAGUGCUYUGWAGUUAGGARGGAAGAGUUGUGAAAGAAAGACGGGAGAUCAUCCCGUCCACUGACUAACAAACCACGACUAAGGACGGCCCGGCCGCYGUGGGUAUGUSKCGUYGGWAAGBGAGACCGGCAGGGWWGGCGGGUAAUAAGAGGUUADUCUUUUUKUACCAUCAUUWGUYGUAUCCCACGGCGGGACCCWGUAGGUGAUAAGCGGAGAGACGUGUGUGAGUGACGUCCAAGCAGUGAGAUUGAGUGUUAGGCAAAUCCGGCACUCUUAAGAUUGAGCUGUGAUGGGGAGAGGAACUUGUUCCUCGAGUCGUUGAUUUCACACUGCCGAGAAAAGCCUCUAGCUAGAAUAACGGUGCCCGUACCGCAAACCGACACAGGUAGUCAAGAUGAGAAUUCUAAGGUGAGCGAGCGAACUCUCGUUAAGGAACUCGGCAAAAUGACCCCGUAACUUCGGGAGAAGGGGUGCUCUUUGAGGUUCACGCUUCGAAGAGCCGCAGUGAAUAGGCCCAAGCGACUGUUUAUCAAAAACACAGGUCUCUGCUAAACCGUAAGGUGACGUAUAGGGCUGACGCCUGCCCGGUGCUGGAAGGUUAAGAGGAGUGGUUAGCGCAAGCGAAGCUACGAAUCGAAGCCCCAGUAAACGGCGGCCGUAACUAUAACGGUCCUAAGGUAGCGAAAUUCCUUGUCGGGUAAGUUCCGACCCGCACGAAAGGCGUAACGAUUUGGGCACUGUCUCAACGAGAGACUCGGUGAAAUCAUAGUACCGGUGAAGAUGCCGGUUACCCGCGACAGGACGGAAAGACCCCGUGGAGCUUUACUGUAGCCUGAUAUUGAAAUUCGGUACAGUUUGUACAGGAUAGGUAGGAGCCUUAGAAGCGUGAGCGCUAGCUUACGUGGAGGCAUUGGUGGGAUACUACCCUAAUUGUAUUGGAUUUCUAACCCGCAGCACUUAUCGUGCUGGGAGACAGUGUCAGGCGGGCAGUUUGACUGGGGCGGUCGCCUCCUAAAGAGUAACGGAGGCGCUCAAAGGUUCCCUCAGAAUGGUUGGAAAUCAUUCAUAGAGUGUAAAGGCAUAAGGGAGCUUGACUGCGAGACCUACAAGUCGAGCAGGGUCGAAAGACGGACUUAGUGAUCCGGUGGUUCCGCAUGGAAGGGCCAUCGCUCAACGGAUAAAAGCUACCCCGGGGAUAACAGGCUUAUCUCCCCAAGAGUUCACAUCGACGGGGAGGUUUGGCACCUCGAUGUCGGCUCAUCGCAUCCUGGGGCUGUAGUCGGUCCCAAGGGUUGGGCUGUUCGCCCAUUAAAGCGGUACGCGAGCUGGGUUCAGAACGUCGUGAGACAGUUCGGUCCCUAUCCGUCGUGGGCGUAGGAAAUUUGAGAGGAGCUGUCCUUAGUACGAGAGGACCGGGAUGGACAUACCUCUGGUGUACCAGUUGUCGUGCCAACGGCAUAGCUGGGUAGCUAUGUAUGGACGGGAUAAGUGCUGAAAGCAUCUAAGCAUGAAGCCCCCCUCGAGAUGAGAUUUCCCAACUUCGGUUAUAAGAUCCCUCAAAGACGAUGAGGUGAAUAGGUUCGAGGUGGAAGCGUAGCGAUACGUGGAGCUGACGAAUACUAAUCGAUCGAAGACUUAAUCAA